GAGUGAAGCGGCAACAGCUCAAAUUUGAAAUCUGGCCUCGGCCCGAGUUGUAAUUUGCAGAGGAUGCUUCUGGCGCGGUGCCUUCCGAGUUCCCUGGAACGGGACGCCACAGAGGGUGAGAGCCCCGUAUGGUCGGACACCAAGCCUGUGUGAAGCUCCUUCGACGAGUCGAGUAGUUUGGGAAUGCUGCUCUAAAUGGGAGGUAAAUCUCUUCUAAAGCUAAAUACCGGCCAGAGACCGAUAGCGCACAAGUAGAGUGAUCGAAAGAUGAAAAGCACCUUGAAAAGGGGGUUAAAUAGUACGUGAAAUUGUUGAAAGGGAAGCACUUAUGACCAGACUUGGGCCGGGCGGCUCAUCAGGGGUUCUCCCCUGUGCACUCCGCCCGGCACAGGCCAGCAUCGGUUCUCGUGGGGGGAUAAGACCGUCAGGAACGUAGCACCCUCCGGGGUGUGUUAUAGCCUGGCGGACGAUACCCCCGUGGGGACCGAGGUCCGCGCUCCGCAAGGAUGCUGGCGUAAUGGUCAUCAGUGACCCGUCUUGAAACACGGACCAAGGAGUCGUCCAUUAGAGCGAGCGUUUGGGUGUAAAACCCGCACGCGUAAUGAAAGUGAACGCAGGUGAGAGCUUCGGCGCAUCAUCGACCGAUCCUGAUGUUCUCGGAAGGAUUUGAGUAAGAGUUUUAACGGACGGACCCGAAAGACAGUGAACUAUGCUUGUAUAGGGUGAAGCCAGAGGAAACUCUGGUGGAGGCUCGCAGCGGUUCUGACGUGCAAAUCGAUCGUCAAAUAUGAGCAUGGGGGCGAAAGACUAAUCGAAC
rnacentral:rRNA from 3 species